AACGUAGGAGACAAACGUUAUCCGGAGUUACUGGGCGUAAAGGGCGUGUAGGUGGUUUCGUAAGUCUGGCGUGAAAUCCCCAGGCUUAACCUGGGAACUGCGUCGGAUACUGGUUGGCUUGAAUCCGGGAGAGGGAUGCGGAAUUCCAGGUGUAGCGGUGAAAUGCGUAGAUAUCUGGAGGAACACCGGUGGCGAAGGCGGCGAUCCUGGACCAACACUGACGCUGAGUGAGCGAAAGCCAGGGGAGCAAACAGG
rnacentral:rRNA from 1 species